rnacentral:sRNA from 1 species
UUAUUGUGUCAAAAAGAGCUUGUUUUUUCUAUGAAAGCGUUUUAGGGUUCUAACAAUAAUAAUAGAACGUAUGAGAAAAAUUGCUUGAAAGUAAUUAAAUGGGGGUGAGUUUAUUAAUAAAUUUUAAUUUUUAUUAUUAUUUUAUUUGUUUUGGAUUUCUGUAAUUUCUCACCUGAUCUGCAUCUCAAAACUUCUCCAAUGGCGAAAUCGGUCUCCACCGCCGUGUCAUCCCUCGCUCAAACCCUAAAGCGGUACUUCAAGAAACCGUGGGAAAUAACCGGCCCGUGUGCCGACCCGGAGUACAAAUUAGCAGUGCCCGGCGCGCUCGAGUACCGGGUCGAGUGCCCAGCCACGACCAAGGUCCAGGCCUGCGUGCCCACCUCCAACCCGGAAACCGUGUACGACAUCAAGUACUAUACCCGCGACCAGAGGCGCAACCGGCCACCGAUUAGACGCACCGUUUUGAAGAAGGCGGAUGUGGAGAAGAUGAUGAAGGAGAGGACGACAUUCAACGUCUCGGAAUUCCCACCUGUUUACUUGGCCGAAGCCGUUGAAGAGGAUUACAAUGCUCGAGGUGGAGGCUACCAGAAAUGAAUUGGGCUUAUGGGAUUCUGGAAAAAUAUGUGUGUUAUUUUGUUCCUCUCGUCGAACUAAAGAGAUGCUGUUCAUGUUAGCAUGAAUGCUUGUCUAGUCUGCUCACUUAAGGAAAUGCUGUGUUUGACGUGAAUAAAGGGUACUUGACACAACUAUUUUUUUUUUUAUCCUUUAGUUUGUCCAAUAAUGUUUUUGUAUAAAAUCUAAAUGCAACCGCAGUUGGGUGAUUCGAUGACAUUAUCGCUCGUUUUUAUAACUUCUAAGAUUUCUACUUGCUAUAAUUUUGCAAAUCUUGUGUGUCACUGUGAUUGUCUUUC